UCACAACUAUAGAACCCAGUUUGAUUUGUUCCGUACAUCACAAUCCACGCCAGCUCAUUCCUGUGCUGCAGUAUGACGGGUUGUGACACUGUAACACCCUCCUGCCCUAUGCACCUGAAAGAAAGACUCAUCCCACCAGGAGUUAAGGAGACGCAGGUUCCCAGCUGCUCUGUACUUCAGAACUGGAUAUGCAACUCGGAUGAUUCUUUGCCUCACCGUCCUGUGAAAUGCACUUUAUUUAUAUGAAAGCAUAUAAAAUGUAGCGGCUCCAACAAGCUACAACAAAGGAUUUAUCUUUUUUUGACAAUUGCACGUGGCUUCCCUGCCAUCUUGAAGACUUCACAGCCAUCUACAUUUAUGCAAAACCAAAACCAGGAUGGCAGAAACCUCCUUCAUUUACACAGAGAGAUCCCAGCACCUCUCCAUCACGGUGCCGUGCUGUUGGAGGCACAGGUGUGGCUGCAGCUAACAGAAGGCCACACCACUGGAACCCAGCACCUGCACGGGAUAAUCAGCACCAACAUGGUCUCUUCUGUUUCCAGUUGCUACUUUAAGAAGAUGCCCUCAAAGCAGAGCACCAUUUCAAAGCGUUUGGGCUACCAGAGAACAGAACAGCAAAUGCAUGUGGUUGCCAAAGUGUUGCCUCUGGCUCUCACUUCAAGCAAGGGAAGAGAAACAGCAAUGAUGCUCUGCGGGGCACCUCUGCUUCACACAAUGUCCUCCAGCUCAAAACCAAGUGCCAACAAACCCACAAGAAGAGCCACGUCCGUUUUGGAACCUCUAAUUUUUAAAUAUAACAUUUUAUUGCUUAGAUGGUUUGAUACAGAACAACUUUUAUUUUGAAUUUGGAAGUACUGUACAACUGAAUAAAAAGAGGAAUAAAAGUACCAAAACAAAUGUGUGAUUCUCUGUUCAUGUGGCAUAAACCAGUCUUGUACACAAUUCGUAGCAGCAGUUUAAGUUCCCUUUAGAAAAAUAUGAAUUCUACAUAUUUAUUACUGUUUCCUGCAUGGGAUGAAAUCACUAGGAUUAACCUUCCUUUGUGGGGAGAGAAGAGAGAAAGGAGACACACAGAGGAGAGAGAAAA